rnacentral:rRNA from 1 species
UACGGAGGGUGCGAGCGUUGUCCGGAAUUAUCGGGCGUAAAGAGCUCGUAGGCGGUUUGUCGCGUCUGCCGUGAAAGUCCGGGGCUUAACCCCGGAUCUGCGGUGGGUACGGGCAGACUAGAGUGCAGUAGGGGAGACUGGAAUUCCUGGUGUAGCGGUGAAAUGCGCAGAUAUCAGGAGGAACACCGAUGGCGAAGGCAGGUCUCUGGGCUGUAACUGACGCUGAGGAGCGAAAGCAUGGGGAGCGAACAGG